GUAGUCUCGCACAGAUGCAUAUCAAUAAGCGGAGGAAAAGAAACUAACAAGGAUUCCCCUAGUAACGGCGAGUGAAGCGGGAAGAGCUCAAAUUUGAAAUCUUAAAGGGUUUCCCUUUACGAAUUGUAGUUUAAAGAAGUGUUUUCUGUUGAGGUUUUGGUAAAAGUUCUUUGGAAUAGGACAUCAUAGAAGGGUGAGAAUCCCGUAUUUGACCUUUACUUUCAACUUUGUGAUACACUUUCAAAGAGUCGGAUUGUUUGGGAAUGCAGUCCAAAAUGGGUGGUAAAUUUCAUCUAAAGCUAAAUAUUGGCGAGAGACCGAUAGCGAACAAGUACCGUGAGGGAAAGAUGAAAAGAACUUUGAAAAGAGAGUUAAACAGUACGUGAAAUUGUCAAAAGGGAAGCGUUUGACACCAGUGUUGUUUUUCUGAAAAUCAAUUAAAGAACUGUUUAUGCUAAGCUUGUUUAGACUUUAUCAGCUAACUGUUUAGUUUUGAGCUUUUCUUUAAUGCACUUUUCAGUUAACAAGUCAACAUCAAUUUCUUUUGCUGUAAAAAAGCUUGAGGAAGGUGGCUUGAGAUUCGUCUUAAGUGUUUAUAGCCUCUUGCCUAUGCAGUCGGAGAGAUUGAGGUCUGCAGCGUAGAUCCUUCGGGGCUAAAUGCAUUUGUGCUAAGUUAUAGCAUUUUAUAGACAACUUGUUGACUAUGAUUUGUCUUGUAGCUUACUCGCUUAUGUUAUUUUACCUACGCUUAGGAUGUUGAUCUGUAGUGCGUGCGC
rnacentral:rRNA from 1 species